UCACAGAAGAUAGAAUGCUAGUAAAAGGGGUAUAAUCAGAUUCUAUAACCUUUUGUGUAACUGUAACUUUAUUUUGGUAACUGAGAAAUAACCUCAGUCUUCUCCCAACCUACGGCCCAUGGAGUUGGGUCUGUGGAAACCAGUCCUCACUGUUAGCUAAGACUGCUGUGGGGGUGUCAUUCAUUCCUUGGCACACCCGUGUAAGGGAGGGAUGGCUUUGUCAACUAGUCAUGGUCGAAGGGCGUUUGCUAGUCUGACUCAGGUGUGGCAGGAUAGGCCCUUUCCCUAGGUACCGGAUGGUUACCUUCACCUGCGGCUCUCUACGUUUCCUCUUUCAUUGUGGCUCUGCUUACUGGUGGUAUUUUCUCAUCAUUUCUACUUGUUAUGUGACCCACCCCAUGCUUCCCCUGCUGCUCAAUUGACUUUUUCCCAUGACUUUUCUCAAGGAAGAAAUCAGUGGAUGGUAGUCCUUGCUCUUGGCAGAGCUGUCAGUUGAUGUCACCUGAAGCCAUAAUGGACCAUUGGCUGGACCAGGGAGCUAUGUCAUAGAGCUAAGAACAGUGAUGUGUCAAUAGUAUCUUUAAAGAUGGUUUAAAAAAUGUUCUGUAUCUACCCUGAUUGUUAUGGAAGCAAACACCAGGUAGCUAUAAUUACAGGUAUUUGGAAUAUGGCACCAAGGAACUGAAUUUUGAUAGAAUUGCCAGAAAGUAAGGGAAAGAAAGAUUUAUAGUUAUUAAAAAAAUUUUUUUGAGGCAGUUUCACUCUUGAAUGUUAGAUAUUCCACCCUACAAGCAAUGUGCUACCAGGCUUGGGUCAACUUUUCUAACUUAAGAGAUUUAAUUGCCCGUAGUCAAGGAUGAUGUUAAAUUUCUUGGAUCAGGAUCUUUUCUUUCUAACUCUCCCCAAAUUUUUAAUCAAAUGGGUGAAUUACUGUGGGUCUUUUCCCUUUUCUUCUUGGGCAUUGUGAAAGAGAAGACAGAUGGCAGGAGGGAGGUAAGUCAUGGAGAGAGGCUCAUAGCAUUACUCUCAAAAUUGACAGGCCUGCGGAGCCUCUGUAAUGCUGUCACAAUGAGCUGCUUUCAUGCUGCCUCCUGUACUCCCCAUGAGCACCUGCGUCUUGUUUCUGUGUCAAUUCACAGCCUGAUUUUCCUCAAGUCCAGCAAGAUGACUGCCAUUAGGUAGGGU
rnacentral:lncRNA from 1 species